AGAAAUAUUAAGCAAAAAAUGGCUGGAAACUCUAUACUAAAUGUUUUCAAAUAAGUGCAAACAAUUAGUUGAAUAGGCAAACAUAAACCUCGAAUAUAUUUAAAAAAUAAACAAAAAUCUGAGAUUUUUGUUUAUUCUUGAUCUUGAAAUCUUCGUUAAUCUUGAAGAUUUAUUUUAACUAAAUUUUAAACCAAACCAAAACAAUAAACUUUUAUGUGAAAAAACCUAUCUGAACGUUUUCUGUUCUAGAUCGAUGGUAUCGCUAGUAUCCACCUUUAAAUUCAGCACUACCUCUCCACGCCACCAUCUUAAGUGAGAUCGAUUUUGGCUCUGAAUAUUCAAUGUCAACUACACAGACACAAACAAAAAUAAUCUGUAGAAACAAGCACUCAGCUGCCGCCAUCAAAUGCUACAAAACGUCCCAGACAAACUCGUGUUUGUUUCCAUCCACCCGAUCCACCGACUCCCGACCGGAUCUAAACGUUCUAGACAUUCUCAAGCCAGAUGGUUAAUAAAUUAAUUAUGAUUAUGGUGAUAACUUCCGAGCGAUUGGUUGCUGAUAAAAGGAAAAAGGGGGAAAUACUCUGAAUGUCAUGUUAAAAUGAACGAUUUUCCUUUUAAAGUCGAGCUGCUGGCUACGCAGAAUGGUGUCAAACAAUGUCUCUCAUCCAAAGCGGUAUCGUAUCGUAGCUGAAGGAGGAUGUGGCGAAUGGCUCACCAUUGCAUUGGAAUUUCGUGACCAACAGCUUUUUGAGUACGACAGAUAGCAGGUGAUACAGUUUUAGCUCGUGCUCAAAGAUACAAAGAUAGUUGUGAUGGCAAAUUUAGUCAUUUUUUUUCUAAAUAUUUACCCUCAUAACAUUCGCAAAAAGGUAAAUUCCUUCGCAGCCAGCCCAUGAAGGCUUCCCAGUCCUAUUGGUAAAACGCAACUGGAUAGUUCCCACGGAAGGACGGUUCGUUCUUAUAUGAGCGCAUCAAUCGCACAGGCUCGCCUCUGAAAAUGAUUACAGGGUUUUCCACGAUUUUUUGGUUGGUUCUCGUUUAUUUUUGGUGGGUUCUAAUAUUUUUUUUGGUGCGUGCUCACGAUUUUUGGCCAAUUUUGGGUCCAAUUGUAUUGAUAUCCAAUCGGAAAAUACCAAUAAAUUAAGGGAACGAA